rfam:Termitomyces sp. J132 unplaced genomic scaffold scaffold13, whole genome shotgun sequence.
GCCUGCCUAGCUCAAUCGGAUAGAGCGUCAGACUCUUAUCAGAGGAGUUGGGUAUCUGAAGGCUGCGAGUUCGACCCUCGCGGUGGGCU